rnacentral:rRNA from 1 species
UCUCCUGGAAAACGGGUGGUAAUGCCGGAUGCUCCGACAUGACGCAUGUCGUGUCGGGAAAGAUUCAUCGGUAUGGGAUGGGGUCGCGUCCUAUCAGCUUGAUGGCGGGGUAACGGCCCACCAUGGCUUCGACGGGUAGCCGGCCUGAGAGGGCGACCGGCCACAUUGGGACUGAGAUACGGCCCAGACUCCUACGGGAGGCAGCAGUGGGGAAUAUUGCACAAUGGGCGCAAGCCUGAUGCAGCGACGCCGCGUGCGGGAUGACGGCCUUCGGGUUGUAAACCGCUUUUGACUGGGAGCAAGCCCUUCGGGGUGAGUGUACCUUUCGAAUAAGCACCGGCUAACUACGUGCCAGCAGCCGCGGUAAUACGUAGGGUGCAAGCGUUAUCCGGAAUUAUUGGGCGUAAAGGGCUCGUAGGCGGUUCGUCGCGUCCGGUGUGAAAGUCCAUCGCUUAACGGUGGAUCCGCGCCGGGUACGGGCGGGCUUGAGUGCGGUAGGGGAGACUGGAAUUCCCGGUGUAACGGUGGAAUGUGUAGAUAUCGGAAAGAACACCA